GAUGAACGCUGGCGGCGUGCCUAAUACAUGCAAGUCGAGCGAACGGACGAGAAUCUUGCUUCUCUGAUGUUAGCGGCGGACGUGUGAGUAACACGUGGAUAACCUACCUAUAAUACUUGGAUAACUUCGGGAAACCGGAGCUAAUACCGGAUAAUAUUUUGAACCGCAUGGUUCAAAAGUGAAAGACGGUCUUGCUGUCUCUUAUAGAUGGAUCCGCGCUGCAUUAGCUAGUUGGUAAGGUAACGGCUUACCAAGGCAACGAUGCAUAGCCGACCUGAGAGGGGGAUCGGCCAAACUGGAACUGAGACACGGUCAAGACUACUACGGGAGGCAGCAGUAGGGAAUAUUCCGCAAUGGGCGAAAGCAUGACGGAGCAAAGCCGCGUGAGUGAUGAAGGUAUAGGGAUCGUAAAACUCUGUUAUUAGGGAAGAAAAUAUGUGUAAGUAAAUGUGCACAGCGUGACGGUAACUAAUCAGAAAGCAACGGCUAACUACGUG
rnacentral:rRNA from 1 species